rnacentral:rRNA from 1 species
GGAGGUCCUACCUGCCCAGUGACAUUAAGUUAAACGGCCGCGGUAUCCUGACCGUGCUAAGGUAGCGCAAUCACUUGUCUUUUAAAUGAGGACCUGUAUGAAUGGUGGAACGAGGGCUUAACUGUCUCCCUUCUCUAGCCAGUGAAAUUGAUCUACCCGUGCAGAAGCGGGUAUUUUAAUACAAGACGAGAAGACCCUUUGGAGCUUAAGACAUAAAGUCAACUAAGUCAAAGUAUUAGUAAACAAAAACAAAACAAAAUUAGGGUUUGACCAAAGUCUUCGGUUGGGGCGACCACGGGGGAAAGUAUAGCCCCCAUGAAGAUUGGAAUUCUUCUAAAACUAAGAGAGACAUCUCUAAGUCGCAGAAUAUCUGACUUAAAGAUCCGGUUAUACUUACCGAUCAACGAAUCAAGUUACCCUAGGGAUAACAGCGCAAUCCUCUUCAAGAGUCCAUAUCGACAAGAGGGUUUACGACCUCGAUGUUGGAUCAGGACAUCCUAAUGGUGUAGCCGCUAUUAAGGG